UACGGCUCACCAAGCUUAUGACGGGUAGCUGGCUUCAUGAGGGUGGUCAGCCAGAGGGGGACUGAGACACGGCCCCCACUCCUACGGGAGGCAGCAAUCAGGAAUAGUCGGCAAUGGGCGAAAGCCUGACCGCGCAAUACCGCGUGUAGGAUGACACUCUAACGAGCGUAAACUACUGUGGCGAGGGAAGAAGUCUUUAUGAUUGACGGUACCUCGCUAGAAAGGGGCCGCUAACUUCGUGCCAGAAGCGUCGGUAAUACGGGGGCCCCAAGCGUUAUCCGGUGUUACUGGGCGUAAAGAGUCGUGUAGGCGGUUUUGUAAGUUACCUUUUAAAUCUUCCGGCCUAACCGGAAAACUGGAGGUAAUACUGCAAAACUAGAAUUUCCUAUGAGGGUAAUCGGAACUAAGGGAGGAGUAGUGAAAUGCGUUGAUACCCUUGGGAACACCAAUGGCGAAGGCAGAUUACUGGAAGGAAAUUGACGCUGAGACACGAAAGCUAGGGUAGCGAAGCAGAUUAGAGACCUGCGUAGUCCUAGCCGUAAACGCAUGCUUGCUAGCUGCAUGAAAUCAGUUUACUGAUUUCGUGUGGCGAAGGUAACCCGUUAAGCAAGCCGCCUGGGGAGUACGGCCGCAAGGCUAAAACUCAAAGGAAUUGGCGGGGAGGCACACAAUCAGUGGAACAUGUGGUUUAAUUCGAAACAAACCGAAGAACCUCACCAGGGUUUGACAUGGAGCUGCAAGCGCACGGAAACGUGUGAUCUUCGAGAGUGCUCCACAGGUGCUGCAUGGCUGUCGUCAGUUCGUUCCGUGGGGAGUGCCCUUAAGUGGGACAACGAACGCAACCCCUAUCCUAUGUUACAAGUGUCAUAGGAAACUGCCCCGCCGGCUGGCGGGGAGGAAGAAGGGGCAGACGUCAAGUCAGCAUGGUCCUUAUGCCCUGGGCUACACACAUGUUACAAUGAGUAUGACAAUGAGCAGCAAACUCGUGAGGGUAAGCUAAUCUCAUAAACAUUCUCUCAGUGGGGAUUGGGGUCUGAAAUUCGACCCCAUGAACGCGGAAUUGAUAGUAAUCGCGGAUCAGAUAUGCCGCGGUGAAUACGUUCUUGCCUCUUGCACACACCGCCCGUCAAGCCAACAAAGUCGGGGAUAUCUGAACUCCGCAGAAGCGGAGGAAGUUGU
rnacentral:rRNA from 1 species